rnacentral:rRNA from 1 species
UACAGAGGAUGCAAGCGUUAUCCGGAAUGAUUGGGCGUAAAGCGUCUGUAGGUGGCUUUUCAAGUUCGCCGUCAAAUCCCAGGGCUCAACCCUGGACAGGCGGUGGAAACUACCAAGCUGGAGUAUGGUAGGGGCAGAGGGAAUUUCCGGUGGAGCGGUGAAAUGCAUUGAGAUCGGAAAGAACACCAACGGCGAAAGCACUCUGCUGGGUCGACACUGACACUGAGAGACGAAAGCUAGGGGAGCAAAUGGG